rnacentral:misc_RNA from 1 species
UGACCCCGGCAAGCCAGACUCACAAGGUAAACACUCUCACAACGGCGGCGGCUGGGACUUUGCUGUCGAGCGUUACCUCUUCGAGUCUAGGAAUUUAGCCGUGGGAGAUCACCGUUGAAGAGAGAGACGAACGCGUUCUCCGGGGGUGACACCAAGCGGGAUAAGCCUUGCCGGCGGGGCGAAAAGCGGCGAUAAUAUGGGAUAGAAGUGGCGAGCUCGGUAAUAUCUGCACAUGGAGCAGACCAAGAGAGUCUAGUCCACGUGACGACGGUAGAAGCAGCUAGGCAAUCUAAGUUUCGGAUUGCUUCGGAAUCGGGAUCGUUGUGGGGGUCGGUCGACCCUAUGGCAUCCAUGGGUGGGGCAAAUGCCAAAAUAAAAACACCAAACCGGAGAUAAAGGAAUCUUCCCUUAAUCAAGACCAACAGCAUCCGACUACCUUCAUUAUUAGCCAGUUUACAGACACCCUCAUUUCGCCCCUCUCACAAAAUAACCUUUUGGAUUGCUCGGCUCUCUUAAAAAUGUAGACGGGAAAAAAUAGCUAAAGUAUAUAUACAACAAGUUUGCCCCA